rnacentral:misc_RNA from 1 species
UAACCCUCAAUCUCCUCAUUUGCUCUUGCGGGCUUAUUGGGGCUGAUUGGAUCGUGAGCUCUGCAGGGCCUCUGGGUCCGGCUGGCUUGAAAUUGAUCAGUGGUAACUUGGUGGCCUUUCGAAAGCUACUGGGACCCGGCGUGAUAGUAAAAUGUCUUCGUCUGGUAACCCUAUAGCGACUAGACGGGGCCUGUACAGGUCCGCUUGAAAAACGCACACUCUCAAC